rnacentral:rRNA from 1 species
AGCGAACGCUGGCGGCAGGCUUAACACAUGCAAGUCGAACGGGCGUAGCAAUACGUCAGUGGCAGACGGGUGAGUAACGCGUGGGAACGUACCUUUUGGUUCGGAACAACACAGGGAAACUUGUGCUAAUACCGGAUAAGCCCUUACGGGGAAAGAUUUAUCGCCGAAAGAUCGGCCCGCGUCUGAUUAGCUAGUUGGUGGGGUAAAGGCCCACCAAGGCGACGAUCAGUAGCUGGUCUGAGAGGAUGAUCAGCCACAUUGGGACUGAGACACGGCCCAAACUCCUACGGGAGGCAGCAGUGGGGAAUAUUGGACAAUGGGGGCAACCCUGAUCCAGCCAUGCCGCGUGUGUGAAGAAGGCCCUAGGGGUUGUAAAGCACUUUCAGUGGGGAGAAAGGUUAUUCACCUAAUACGUGAGUAGAUUGAUGUUACCCACAGAAGAAGCACCGGCUAACUCCGUGCCAGCAGCCGCGGUAAU